AGAGUUUGAUCCUGGCUCAGGAUGAACGCUGGCGGCGUGCCUAAAACAUGCAAGUCGAGCGGUAAGGCUCCUGCAGGUUAUUCACAUCGAAGGAUUGAAUGACGUGCUGGAGUACACGAGCGGCGGACGGCUGAGUAACGCGUAGGAACGUACCCCAAACUGAGGGAUAACCGCCCGAAAGGGUGGCUAAUACCGCAUGUGCUCUUCGGAGUAAAGCUACGGCGGUUUGGGAACGGCCUGCGUAAGAUUAGCUUGUUGGUGGGGUAAUGGCUCACCAAGGCGACGAUCUUUAGCUGGUCUGAGAGGAUGAUCAGCCAGACUGGGACUGAGACACGGCCCAGACUCCUACGGGAGGCAGCAGUUAGGAAUUUUUCACAAUGGGGGCAACCCUGAUGGAGCAACGCCGCGUGCAGGAUGAAUGCCUUCGGGUUGUAAACUGCUUUUAUAUGUGACGAUUAUGACGGUAGCAUAUGAAUAAGGAUCGGCUAACUCCGUGCCAGCAGCCGCGGUCAUACGGAGGAUCCAAGCGUUAUCCGGAAUUACUGGGCGUAAAGAGUUGCGUAGGUGGCAUUGUAAGUUGGUAGUGAAAGCGUGCGGCUCAACCGCAUAAACAUUACCAAAACUGCAAAGCUAGAGGACGAGAGAGGUACCUGGAAUUCCUAGUGUAGGAGUGGAAUCCGUAGAUAUUAGGAGGAACACCGAUGGCGUAGGCAGGGUACUGGCUCGUUCCUGACACUAAGGCACGAAAGCGUGGGUAGCAAACGGGAUUAGAUACCCUAGUAGUCC
rnacentral:rRNA from 1 species